GAUGAACGCUGGCGGCGUGCCUAAUACAUGCAAGUCGAGCGAACAGACGAGGAGCUUGCUCCUCUGACGUUAGCGGCGGACGGGUGAGUAACACGUGGAUAACCUACCUAUAGACUGGGAUAACUUCGGGAAACCGGAGCUAAUACCGGAUAAUAUAUUGAACCGCAUGGUUCAAUAGUGAAAGACGGUUUUGCUGUCACUUAUAGAUGGAUCCGCGCCGCAUUAGCUAGUUGGUAAGGUAACGGCUUACCAAGGCAACGAUGCGUAGCCGACCUGAGAGGGUGAUCGGCCACACUGGAACUGAGACACGGUCCAGACUCCUACGGGAGGCAGCAGUAGGGGAUCUUCCGCAAUGGGCGAAAGCCUGACGGAGCAACGCCGCGUGAGUGAUGAAGGUCUUCGGAUCGUAAAACUCUGUUAUUAGGGAAGAACAAAUGUGUAAGUAACUAUGCACGUCUUGACGGUACCUAAUCAGAAAGCCACGGCUAACUACGUG
rnacentral:rRNA from 1 species